ACCAGCGGGGCGCUCUACGCGCUGCUGGGGUCGCUCACGGGGUGCCACUGGAUCUACUCCUGCACGUACAGGUCCAAGAUGCGCGCCCAGUACGCGCUCCCGGACGAGCCCUGCUGCGACUGCUGCGUCCACUUCUGCUGCGAGACCUGCGGCCUCAUCCAGCAGUACAAGGAGCUCAAGGCCCGUGGCUACGACCCCGACAUUGGCUGGCACCUCAACGUCGAGCGCGGCAACGGCGGCGCCGGUGUUGGCGGCGUCAACCCGCCCGGCAUGCAGGAGAUGGGCCGCUAGAUCGUCAAACUCUGCCGCACGUGUGGGUGGAGGAUCGCUCGAGCAAGUGUUCCAGGUGCUUGGUAAGUUAUUGCAUAGUAGUACGUACUUGUAGCUUUGUUAAGUUCCGAAUGCAUGUGGUGCGGUGGAGGAGUAUGUUGUAUUGGAGUACAUGGUGAUGUGAUAAGUUGCUGUCAGGAGUGGGAGGAGGAGCAAGCGGACAGGAGUAAUGCCACGAUGCAUUUUGUUCAGUGUACUGUAUAUUUGUAUUUAUUCAUCGUAUUGUAUAUUUGUACAAAUAAAAUCGAGCAAACGACGGGAUCACCGUACUUUUACUAGGCCAGAGCAUCUAUAACUGGUCUACUCAAACCCUUUCUAUACGCCCAUGCAGGUGGCCCGAUUAAUGACUGAUCACAAAGUCCCGAUCCAGACGAGCUCAUACCGGCCUUAUAGAUCCGAGCUAACCGGCACCUCCUCGUAUUCAGCCCAAAUCCAAGGCGGAUAUGGGGGGGUGCGAGCGGAUCCACGCGUGUCCGUCACGUUUGAUCCGGGCCAAGUUGGCGCCCCUAUACCCAUCCCAUAUUUGGGCUGGAUAUGGAGGUGCCGGUCAGUCCGGGCGUUUGAGACCCGUUUGAGACGUCCGUCUGAGUCGAAAAAAACAUGACCGGUCAGUGACCGAGCAGCCCGCCCGAGCGUAUGAAGCGGGUUUAAGAGGUCCGGCUUUAGAUGUUCUUAUUACUCCACCUCAUCUCCGGCCAAACUUUAUAUUUAAAGAAAACGAUUACAUCCGCCGUAGUUCGGUAAUUACGCAAUUAUUUCUCUCUCGAGCAGAUAGGAAAAAAAAGAGAACAAAAUUACACAAACACGUACACGGCGAAGUAUUGUUCGGCUGAAAAAAGGUCAAUUGACAGUGUUAUUAGUGGAGUAUAUAGUACCUGUUACCACACGCUGAAGAAAUGAUCAGAUCAGAUCAGACAGAUUACAAGUCUACGGUGUGAGCUUCGCGGCAGCUGGCUGUCGCCUUCAACGACGUACCCUCCUGUAUAGAGUAUAGACGUACGGCUCAUUCGGGUCAAGGGAACGCCGGUUUGACUUGAGGCUAAUUUUCCUUGUGCUUAUCACCAAUCAAACACGGAUGGAUUAAUUAACAUGCUGAACAAUUCGGUACAGUGCAAAAAUUUAAACCCGCCGCCUCGAUCCGAAACCAGUAGACACGAGCUAUAUAUAAGCAUCCCAUUCCCGGCACAGAACAACAACUACCCGGCGACAUCGAUCGAACACAAAGAGCUCAUCACAUCUUUCUAGUUCACCGGCCGUUGUCGAGAUGAAGCCCGCCGCGCAGCCGGUCACCGGCGUCCCCGUCGGCGGCGCCCCCGCCCCAGCCGCCUGGUCCUCCGGCCUCUUCGACUGCUUCGACGACUGCGGCCUCUGUACGCGCAUAUACCCUACCUCUCGUGCCAAUCUUCCUCCAACUCGUCUCCAUGUCUCACAUGCGUGUCUAACACAUGUGACCUAUGAUCCAUGCAGGUUGCCUGACGUGCUGGUGCCCUUGCAUCACGUUUGGCAAGGUGGCGGAGAUCGUGGACAGGGGCUCGACGUCGUGCGGCACCAGCGGGGCGCUCUACGCGCUGCUGGGGUCGCUCACGGGGUGCCACUGGAUCUACUCCUGCACGUACAGGUCCAAGAUGCGCGCCCAGUACGCGCUCCCGGACGAGCCCUGCUGCGACUGCUGCGUCCACUUCUGCUGCGAGACCUGCGGCCUCAUCCAGCAGUACAAGGAGCUCAAGGCCCGUGGCUACGACCCCGACAUUGGCUGGCACCUCAACGUCGAGCGCGGCAACGGCGGCGCCGGUGUUGGCGGCGUCAACCCGCCCGGCAUGCAGGAGAUGGGCCGCUAGAUCGUCAAACUCUGCCGCACGUGUGGGUGGAGGAUCGCUCGAGCAAGUGUUCCAGGUGCUUGGUAAGUUAUUGCAUAGUAGUACGUACUUGUAGCUUUGUUAAGUUCCGAAUGCAUGUGGUGCGGUGGAGGAGUAUGUUGUAUUGGAGUACAUGGUGAUGUGAUAAGUUGCUGUCAGGAGUGGGAGGAGGAGCAAGCGGACAGGAGUAAUGCCACGAUGCAUUUUGUUCAGUGUACUGUAUAUUUGUAUUUAUUCAUCGUAUUGUAUAUUUGUACAAAUAAAAUCGAGCAAACGACGGGAUCACCGUACUUUUACUAGGCCAGAGCAUCUAUAACUGGUCUACUCAAA
rnacentral:lncRNA from 1 species